rnacentral:lncRNA from 1 species
GUAAAAGAUAGCGUUUUGUACAACUUGGUGAUGGGAAAGAAGGUUGUUGGCAUGCCUUAUUAUUCAAAGCUGGAAAGCAGAGUGUGGUGGGUGGCACAUGACUGUAACUCUAGCAGGAGGGUCUCUGGUUUUAGGUAGUCUGGGCCACAUAGUGAUGUUAAGGCAUCUCAAAUGCAAUACUGUAAAAAUGCUAUGGGGCUUAUUUGCAUUUAGAAUCAUUUGUUUUAAAAUGUAGCAUUCUUAUAAAACAAAGCAAGAACAUAACAGAAGUAGAACCGUAUUAUUAGGCAGUAAGAUAUAUCUUAGUGAUUGGUGUAUCACCAACCUAAAGGUUGAUUUAAAAUGAAGUUGACAGACUGUUCUGGGGUCAGCAAACUAUAGCCAUUCUUAGUAACAUUUUAUGGGAAUUAGCAAAUCAAUUUAGAUUACCAUAUAAAUACCAGACACUAUUGGUUGUGCCACUCGAGUGCCUAAUUGAUUAAUUAUAGCUGUUCUUAAGCUGGGGUGAGUUACAUCUACAGGCCCAAGUGAUCUACAGGCCCAAGGUAUUUGGUUAUUUAGGUCCUGGACAGCAACUCUGGGGUCUCAUGUAUAGGCAAGAACCCUUUAUGAUAACUAUGUGGACACUUUGCAAAACAAGUUAUGGGCCCCCAAAUACUGUUACUGUUAAAUAGGCAAUUUUGAGACCUUACGAAUUCCAUUUCAUCAAGGAAACACGUUUUAACGUGGUUUGACUAACCUGAGCAGUGCUGAGCCCAUUGCUUUCCAGAGUCUACUUGAUAUGUAGCCGUCUAAAGUCAGGUCUAUUUAUAUUAUCAUAUACAUAGCCUGUUCCUGGGGAGGUUUAUUGUGCUUCCCUGGGGUAGCAGUUAAACUGACAAAUAAGAUCUUAGGGGAACUUUUUAAAGUAGCUUUUUACUUUUUAACAUUUUAAAAAUUACAUUGUGUGUGUGUGUGUGUGUGUAUGUGUGUGUAUACACACCAUAUAAUAGUGGAGGUCAGAGACAACCUGCAAGUUUGUUCUUGCCUUCCACCAUGUAGAGUGUAGGGAUUGAACUCAGGUCUUCAGGCGUGGCAUCAAGUGUCCCUCCCUGGUGAGCUAUCUUGAUGGUGCCAUAGUUUUUUUCCUGCACUGUUGAAUUUGAACAUGGUAUCAUGUUUUGUUUUAUUUUUUUUUUAAUAUUAUGUUUUCAAUGAAAUCAAUUAGUUAAUGAAAAUGUCACAUACCUUCUUUAUUAAUAGCAGUUGAUAACUAUCUCUUUCACAGAAAUUGGCUUUCUCUAAGAAUUGAGCAUACUAUAUUCCUGAAAACUCAGAUAUGGGUUGUUGAGAUGGCUCAGCAGGGGAGGGCACUCGAUGCCAAUUUGAAAGCCCGAGCUCAUCCCCAGAACCUCCAUAUGCAUGUGGUACAUGUGUGUCCCCCCACUCCCAAAACACAUACAGAUAGGCAUGAAACAAUAAAAACUAAUAAAAUUUUAAAGAAAGGAAAAUCAGAUUCUUGCAUACACAGCUUUACACUAAGGGUUUGCAGACUGCUGGAGAUACUGUGGGGUCACGGGGUCUUUGUUACAAAUGCAUGCUUUAAAAUACUUUACUUUGAAAUGAAAAAUUUAUUAAUUAUUAUGACUUCAAGAAACACAGCUAGUUCAAAUUUCUUUGCAGCUGAUAGAAUAUUUAUUUAUGAAUAGGUAGGGUCUCACUACAGAGCUCUGGCUCUUUUGAAGCGCACUCUGUAGGCCUGAGUGCUGAGAUUAAAGGCGAAUGCCACCAUGCUUGGCAAGAUGUUCAACUUUUUAUUUUCUUUAAAGAUUUGUUUAUUUGUUCUAUGUAUGUGAGUACAGUGCCGCUAUCUUCAGACACAGAAGAGGACAUCAGAUCCCAAUACAUGUGAUUGUGAGCCACUAUGUGGAUGCUGGGAAUUGAACUCAGGACCUCUGGAAGAGGAGUCAGUGCUUUUAACCACAUCUCUCCAGCUCCAAAAUGUUCAGCGUUUAGAAUAACUAAAAUGUGUAUUGUCUUUUUCUGGACAGCUUUGUUAGUUGAUGCUUUAAAACUCUUUUUUAAAGUGAGCUACACGAUGACCAGGUUUCAUUAUUUUAUUUUUUGUAGAGCUUGGGCUAAACCUUGAGUGUGUUUGUGCUGGGUAAGUUCUCCCAGUGAACUGUAUCCCCAGGCAAGACAGGCUUUUACCUGUUUUGUUCAUUGUCAUAUACCUAGAACCUGCGCUUGCUGUGUCACAUACUUCUCAGUGAAUGUCUGCUGGAUGAAUGAGCAGGUGACUGUCUAAAAGCGUAAUUAAUAGUUGUAAGGGUGAGAAUAAAAUGUCAGCAUAGAUUGUCUUAACAUAAAGUAGAAGCAAGGAUUUCAACCC